rnacentral:rRNA from 1 species
CCUACGGGUGGCAGCAGUGGGGAAUAUUGCACAAUGGGGGAAACCCUGAUGCAGCAACGCCGCGUGGGUGAAGAAGUUUCUCGGUAUGUAAAGCUCUAUCGGCAGGGAAGAUUAUGACGGUACCUAACUAAUAAGCACCGGCUAACUCCGUGCCAGCAGCCGCGGUAAUACGUAUGGUGCAAGCGUUAUCCGGAUUUACUGGGUGUAACGGGAGCGCAGGCGGGGUGGUAAGUCAGAUGUGAAAUCCCGUGGCUUAACCACGGGACUGCAUUUGAAACUGUGGGGCUAGAGUGUGGGAGAGGUAAGUGGAAUUCUUAGUGUAGCGGUGAAAUGCGUAGAGAUCAGGAGGAAUACUCGUGGCGAAGGCGGCUUGCUGGAAGAUGACUGACGCUGAGGCUCGAAAGCGUGGGGAGCAAACAGGAUUAGAUACCCGUGUAGUC